AAGUGACCCUCGGUCGGUAGAGCACGAGACUCUUAAUCUCAGGGACGUGGGUUUGAGCCCCAUUCCUGCAUUG